UACGGAGGGUGCAAGCGUUAUCCGGAUUCACUGGGUUUAAAGGGUGCGUAGGCGGGUAGGUAAGUCAGUGGUGAAAUCUUCGAGCUUAACUCGGAAACUGCCUUUGAUACUAUCUAUCUUGAAUAUUGUGGAGGUAAGCGGAAUAUGUCAUGUAGCGGUGAAAUGCUUAGAUAUGACAUAGAACACCUAUUGCGAGGGCAGCUUACUACGCAUAUAUUGACGCUGAGGCACGAAAGCGUGGGGAUCAAACAGG
rnacentral:rRNA from 1 species